rnacentral:lncRNA from 1 species
UCAAACAAGUAGAACAGUACAAAAAAAUAAAUAGAAAAUCAAGAUAAUUGUGAACUAAUUGGUUCGAGCUCCACUAGUAACUUACAAUUAUUUUUAAGGUUUUCUAAUUUUUCACAAAAACACAAAAUUAUAGUCUCAAUUUACCGUAACGGGGAAUAGGGUGAAUGAUCCUUACCUGGAUCGGUGUUUCAAGAUGUUGAACUGUCUGUUAUGCCUCUUAAU